GCGGUCGCCUCCCAAAAGGUAACGGAGGCGCUCAAAGGUUCUCUCAGUACGGUCGGAAAUCGUACGUAGAGUGUAAAGGCAAAAGAGAGCUUGAUUGCAAGACAUACAGGUCGAGCAAGGAUGAAAAUCGGACUUAGUGAUCCGGUGGUUCUGCGUGGAAGGGCCAUCGCUCAACGGAUAAAAGCUACCCUGGGGAUAACAGGCUUAUCUCCCCCAAGAGUCCACAUCGACGGGGAGGUUUGGCACCUCGAUGUCGGCUCAUCACAUCCUGGGGCUGUAGUAGGUCCCAAGGGUUGGGCUGUUCGCCCAUUAAAGUGGUACGCGAGCUGGGUUCAGAACGUCGUGAGACAGUUCGGUCCCUAUCCGUCGCAGGCGUAGGAAAUUUGAGAAGACCUGUCCUUAGUACGAGAGGACCGGGAUGGACGUACCUCUGGUGUACCAGUUGUCCUGCCAAGGGCAUGGCUGGGUAGCUAUGUACGGAAUGGAUAAGCGCUGAAAGCAUCUAAGCGCGAAG
rnacentral:rRNA from 1 species